CAAUAGCGUAUAUUAAAGUUGUUGCGGUUAAAAAGCUCGUAGUUGGAUUUCUGCCGAGGACGACCGGUCCGCCCUCUGGGUGUGUAUCUGGUUUGGCCUGGGCAUCUUCUUGGAGAACGUAGCUGCACUUGACUGUGUGGUGCGGUGUCCAGGACUUUUACUUUGAGGAAAUUAGAGUGUUUCAAGCAGGCACACGCCUUGAAUACAUUAGCAUGGAAUAAUAAGAUAGGACCUCGGUUCUAUUUUGUUGGUUUCUAGAGCUGAGGUAAUGAUUAAUAGGGAUAGUUGGGGGCAUUCGUAUUUAACUGUCAGAGGUGAAAUUCUUGGAUUUGUUAAAGACGGACGACUGCGAAAGCAUUUGCCAAGGAUGUUUUCAUUGA
rnacentral:rRNA from 1 species